rnacentral:rRNA from 1 species
GGACGGGUGAGUAAUGUCUGGGAAACUGCCUGAUGGAGGGGGAUAACUACUGGAAACGGUAGCUAAUACCGCAUAACGUCGCAAGACCAAAGAGGGGGACCUUCGGGCCUCUUGCCAUCAGAUGUGCCCAGAUGGGAUUAGCUAGUAGGUGGGGUAACGGCUCACCUAGGCGACGAUCCCUAGCUGGUCUGAGAGGAUGACCAGCCACACUGGAACUGAGACACGGCCCAGACUCCUACGGGAGGCAGCAUG